CCUACGGGAGGCAGCAGUGGGGAAUUUUGGACAAUGGGGGAAACCCUGAUCCAGCAAUGCCGCGUGUGCGAAGAAGGCCUUCGGGUUGUAAAGCACUUUUAUUCGGAGAGAAAUCCCUUGGGCUAAUACCCUGAGGGUCUGACGGUACCGGAUGAAUAAGCGCCGGCUAACUACGUGCCAGCAGCCGCGGUAAUACGUAGGGCGCGAGCGUUAAUCGGAAUUACUGGGCGUAAAGCGUGCGCAGGCGGUUUUGUAAGACAGAUGUGAAAGCCCCGGGCUCAACCUGGGAAUUGCAUUUGUGACUGCAAGGCUAGAGUGUGUCAGAGGGAGGUGGAAUUCCGCGUGUAGCAGUGAAAUGCGUAGAGAUGCGGAGGAACACCGAUGGCGAAGGCAGCCUCCUGGGAUAACACUGACGCUCAUGCACGAAAGCGUGGGGAGCAAACAGGAUUAGAUACCCUGGUAGUCCACGCCCUAAACGAUGUCAACUAGUUGUCGGGAAUUAAAUUUCUUGGUAACGCAGCUACGCGUGAGUAGACCGCCGUGGGAGGUACGGCCGCGAGUAAACGUACGAANAGAGUAGAGGCGNGAGAGNGCCGACGACGACGACGAGGGAGGAGG
rnacentral:rRNA from 1 species